AAUCGAACAUGGGCCACUGAAGCAGAACACACCUAACUUAACCACUAGGCCCUGGGGCCAGCCCCUGUGUGCACUGCUUAAUUUCCCUGCGUGCUAAGCCUUAAAGCCCAUCUUGUAUGACAUUUUUGAGGGCCUGCCGUUCAUUUGGAAUAUGGAGUGGUCACUUCAGCAGAUCUCUUCAAGUUGCAGGAAAGCCAAAUAAAAUUUUGAGCCACCAUUGAGAGUCCGUCUCAGUAAAUACCUCUCUUUGACUAGAUGUUGACUGUUUUGGAAAAUUAAAGUGUUUAGGACUUCGUGAAAGCAGGCUUUGUCAGAUAGCACUGUUUGUCUGUGGUUUUUUGGAAUAGCAAGCUACAGAUUUCUUUUAGAAUAACUCUUUAUUGAAAAAGCCAUUGGGGAGAGAGAGGGGGAAAUGUGUAAAGGUCUUUCAUGAAAGCAGUGAAUUUUGGAUUGAAUUUGAAGAGAAAUACAUUAAGAAAUAAGUAAGGAAAAGACUAGAAAACAGUACAUGUAGACAUACUUUAAAAAUGCCUAGUGCUAUAUAGGUAAAUUAUUCUAAAGAAAGGAAUUAUAAAAAUUGGAAAGAUGAAUAAACAUGCUGGGGACGUGAGGACUUGGUAGAUCUUAAAUCUUCCUGGCAGGUGUUUAAAAAAAAAUUUACGAUUGACUUUAUAUUUUUAUUUCAUUCUCAAUACAUUAAAAUAGAUUAGAAAACAUUCAUUUAGAAAAGUAGGUUCUUUGCUGACUUUUGAGGUGGUGAUUUUUUUUGAUAAAUCAAGUAACAUUGUUUUGGCAUGCUAUUCUGUCUUUGCUGAAAAAUGGUUGACUAAAAAUGUGAAUAUUCAUACUCUUUUGAAAAUUAGAAAGGAAUUCUUGCCUACUACAACACAAAACACACGAAUAAUCAACUAAUGAAUAGUUUUAACAGAUAAAAUGGAAAAGAUCAGCAUGUCCUAAAUAAUUUAAAGAAAGUACUCUUCAUUUAAAUGAUCCUCACCCCAAAGUAAAUAUGAGAUUCUAAAAACAGAAUUAAGGGAUGGAGAAGGAGAAAAAAAUUCCGCGUAGAUUUGAAUGAACUUCUGUGUGUUUAAUUAUAAAAUAAUUUAAAAAAAUUUUGAAAGACGUUUUUUGUUAGCACUGCUUUAAGUUGAGUACGUUUUCCUUUAGGAAUGUAACGUGAAAGGGUUGGAAGAAUCCUUAAGGAAAUCCCGUCACGACAGAUAAUUCUGCAUCUACUCAGGAGAAUUUUAUAUAUGACAAAGCUCAAUCACUUCCAAGAGAGAAAUGGACAAAUUAAAGCAUAUUUUCCUUCUGAGCAUUUAACAAUUAGAUAAUUGAUUAAUAGAAAAAAUGCACAUAUUUGAAAAAUUAGAUUAUCCUAUUAAACUUUGUUUUAUUGUUAUUCUCCUCUGUUUCCAUAAAUAGUUUAUGUAUUUUAUAAAUCUUGCCAAAUUAUGACAUCACAGCCCCAUCUUGUGGUCAAUAUAAAUAACCAAUAGAGUAAAUUUUAAGCAAAAAGCAAGAGCCUUAAUUUUUUUUUAAAAAAGUCAAAAUUUUUCUUAAGGGCUAAUAUAAAUAAAAAUGAUAGAGAUGAGGUGUUUUUUUUCAGGAAUUGCUUCUUUAUUUUUGUAGUGUGAUAACUACGAUAUUUUAAAAGGAGGAAUUGGACACUUUAUUCUGAAAUAAGGGAUAGCUAGCAUGUUUCCAGUUAAUACUGAUGAAGUAAUUUGUUUUCUAUUCUUUAUCUACUUUGUAAACUGCUAAUCUAUGUUCUCUAGGGAAUAUGAACCUGGACUAAUAAUAAAAUCAGUGUAAAAUUGGUCAGACUCAAAUAUAACUGAUACAGUAAUUGGCAGACAAAAUAAUUUACAUAAUAUUUGAACAGUCUCAGGUUUGAUUGUAACAUCAAACAUAUUUUAAAAAAUUUCUUUGUGGCAGGGAAGGGAAAAUCACAAUUUUUUUUCUUCAUAAUCAGCACAGGGCUAGUAAGUGCAGGAAUGGGGACAGGAUUCUGUGUUGGAAAAAUUGGGUGAUUCAGACAAACUGAAAAUAACCUCUGUUUUGGCUUUUUGGAUUAACAAAAUUUGUUCCUGCUGAAGUUGUGGAAGGGAGGGGUACUGAGUAGUCCUCCUUUACUCCAGCUCUCGCAUAUUCCAUUGCUGACCACAUAUCCUUCUUGAUCACCUUCCCUCCUCUGGGUCACCUUGCACCCUGGCUGCUGGACUGGACUCAGGUGCUCCUCAUCUAAGUGUAGAGUGACUUCAUUAAUUUUCGUAUUGUCCCAAGACAGCUUCCUUAUUGAUCUUCUGUGAGUUAAGAGGAGAGGAGAUUAAAAAAUAUGUAUUAUUGAAACAUAAAUGAUUUGGCAUCUGUGAUAGCAAGACUCCAAACAUGGUCCUCAGUGACCCAGGCCCCCAGGGUCCAUGCCUUUGUGCAGGUCCAUGGGUGGGCCUUCUGUAACCAGCAGAGAGCAGCAGAAGUGACUGCAGAACUUACAAGUUGAGUCGUGGGGGACCUUGUGGCUUUGAUCUCUUGGAAUGUUCACCCUUAGGGCACUCCCUCUAGAAUCCAGUGCCAUUGUGUGGAAAGCCCAUGCCACAUGGAGAGGCCAUGUAUGAGCACACUGGACAGCGUCUGAAGGUGAGCUACGUCAUUUGGAACCACGUGAGUGAAUUAUUUGGACAUCGAGCCCAGUCGAGCCUUCAGAUGACCAUUGUCCCCAUGGUAGACUUCUGUCUGCAACCACAUCUGAGUCCCCAAGUGAGAACCACCCACUGAGUGCAGUCAACCCACAGAGCCACGAGAGGCAAAGAUGACAUCGUUCCAGGUCACUAAGUCCUAUGCUGUUUGUUACACGGCAUCGGUAACUGAAACGGGGAAGAUUGCCUACACUGCCUCUCCAUUCGGGCCUGCUUCUCUGAGCAUGUAGCAGACUGGAUCAUAAAUGUACCUUUCAUUCCCCCUCAGUGAGGCCAUAAGCUCCCUGGGGGAAGGGCCUGGCCCUUAUGUAGUCUUUUCAGUUUCAGAGCCUAGCAAACAGCCUGGCAUGUAAUAGGCACUCGUGUGAAUGAAUAAUUGGGAGUUGGUUUUAUGUCUGAGAUUUUAUUGUAUUUGAAUCAAAGUGAUCCCUUUGGAUGGGAGUUUUGAAUUUAACAGAUAGACCAAAAAUAAAAAUAAAUCUAUAUGUACUUUGGUUAUGACGUGUGCGAUAAAGACUUGAGAAAGAUUGGCCCUGAAUUAAGGGAUUUGUAGGUGGCCCCGAGGUGGAUAGAGUGAUGUACUAAGAUCUUAUAAAAAUAAACUGACAUCACUGUUAUCCUCGGCAUUCUGUCUGAAGGAUGGAGACAGGGAGUGGUCAGUUUAUGAGGAACCUGUUUAGUGGCCAUGUGUGUAUUAGACUUCCAGGAAGUAUGCUGAAUUGAAUGAAUUUGGUUUUAUACAUCAUAAAACAGUUCUUAGUAAAAUGCUUUAAAAAGCAUUAUAUCUAUAUACUGACUAAAAACUCAUAUUUUAUCAUCCCACUUUAAACUGAAAAAUUGUUCUAAAAUAGAAACAUGACAACAGUAGAUUCUCAAAUGCCAAGGAGAGAGUGGCCUUGCGUAUUUUUACUGGAACGACUGUUGUUACCAUGGUGACAGAUUGCUCUGCUCAUUGGGUGUGACUUGUUGAUUUUAACCAAACACCAUUUUAACAUCUAUUCAGUAUGGUCGUAGAAAUGUGAUAAAUAAUGGAAUUAAAACUUUAUAAAUUCAGAAGGAUGAACCUGUAUGAAUCUGUUCAAAAAAUCAAAUGUUUAGGAGAGCUGUAACUGGGGUGAUGUCAGAAAAAAAACAGAACCUCGAAACUUCUUGACUGCAUAUUCUUCACCAGUCCCUGUAUGACUGCCUUUGGAUGCUCCCCUCUACUGAUUGUGGCUUGCUGAUUUCACAGUGUUGAUAUCACUUCAGACACUCUCCUUUCAACUUGGAAUGAUUUGUCCAUACAUCCAUGGUGGUGUCCAGAUCUGAAUUCAGUAUGUUCAUGUCGCCCAAAAUGAGGCGCAAGCCUUCAAUGACUGCAUCUUGGAAAUUUACAAAACUCUUCAGGAAGCCAACCCCAACUGGAAUGGCCUGCCAUACUUUGUAAACUUUUUGUUGGAGUGCUGAUUAUGGCUACAAUUUUCUUACUUUUUUUUUUUUUAAACAAACACUAUAUAUAUUUGAAUCCUGAAGGGUUAAAGUGCCUCAGAGAUUAAGUAGUUUAGUUAGUCGCAGCCUUGGCCUCCUCCUAGAAUCACCUGGGAGUUUUUAGAAGCAUUUAAUGCUGUGACCCCCAAUUAGGCCUAUUAAAUUGCAUUCUCUGGGGUGAAGUCAGGAGAUUAGUUAUUUUUAAAAGCUCUCUAAAUGCUUCUAGUAUGCAGCAAAGGUUGGGAAGAUCUGAUUUAGCUCAGCCCUUGAAGAUGACAAAGAUUCUCUGCUUGGCCAAACUUUAGUUAGGCUCCUGAACCUUCUCCUGGGCCCAUCUCUGCCCUUCCUUGUAAAACGCAGUUUGACGGGAACCCUCUACCCUUGCUAUCUGAUCACCUUGAUAUCUAGUUGGGGUCCUCAUCCUCCACCAUCCCCUAGGUGAUGUCUGAUCACUCUAGCCUGCCUUCAGUAAGAAAGCUAUUAGGUGGGUUUAGCUAGAACCCCGCUUUCCCUGAUGUUUCCUCUUAGGAAUUUUCCAUAUCCCAACCCUGACCCGGCUUCUUGGCCAUCAAUUCCCACUUGCCCGUGCUAUAUUCCAAGUUGAGCCCAAUCUCUCUCCCCCAUUGCAAAAUCCCUAUACCUAUUGCAAUGGUUCUGAAUAAAGUUUGCCUCACUAUGCUUUAACAACUGUCAUUGAAUUAUUUUUUCUGUAACAAAGAUAGGUUAUUUCUACCACCACAAUAUUUCUAACCUAUGCUUAGCUUACUGCAUGAGAAUUUCCAGCUAAUUUUCAGCUAAUUAAUGGUGUUAAGUGAAAAAUGAUCAAUUGUUAAAUGGCAAAGUGAAAUCUUGAAAUUUCCAUAUUGAAAGAAAAAAAUACCCAGUUUCUCCCGAGGGUGUACUACAUCCAGAGACGUGACCAGCACUAAUGUGAGACCUCGUCUGACCGCACAAGGAAGCAGCAGCCCGUGAUGGUACACAGCUUUCACUCCAGCCAAUAGUCUGGGUCCCUCAGUCAGUGUUUCUUCUGCUUUGGUUCCAAAAACACCAGGACACGGUUUGAGAGAUUUCCUGAAGUUUCAAGAUGUUCUCUCAAGUUAUUUGUACAACAAGAAAGAAAAGACCCUGUAGUCUAACCUCCUUCCCACGUCCAUGACAGACCCCUUGGGCUCUGCUUGGGCAUUUUGCAGAUUGCUCAUCCGUGGAUGAGAAGCCCUAGCUAUCAGAAUGCUUUUCCUAAUAUCGAGCUGCUAUCAGUGGCCCUCCUAACUUCUUCCUGUUGGCUCUAGUUCUGCUUUCUGGAGGAACACAGACUAAGCUAAAUGCCUUUUCUGUGUAUUAGCAAUGCAAAUGGAUUGUAAUUUUCCUAACUCUGCUCUCCAAGAUAAACAUUUCAGGUUUUCACAGGCAUCUCAUCAUCUGGUCCUCUGUGACACCCUGCUUCUCUCUCCUUGGUCAACAUCACACUUUACAGCGUGUUACCUGGAACAGGACAUGACUACCGCAGUGGUUCUCAUUACCUCCUUUGGUCUGGUCACUGCACUUCUAGAAAUAAAGCCUAAGAUUUCAUCAUGUUUUAUAGGGGUCAUCCCACAAUGAUUUAAAAGAAAACGGUAGAUCAGUGGUUUUCAAACCAGGCUGCACAUUAAAAUCACCUGGGGAAGCUUUUAAAAAAUCCUGAUGCCCAUGUUCUAGCCCUGAGCAAAUAAACCAGAAUCUCGGGGGGCAAAGCCCAGGCACAGGUAUUUUUGAAGUCCUUCAGUGAUUCUAAUGUGUAACCAAAUUAGUUUUGCUCUUAAAGGAGGUUUCUCUCAACCUGUAUAUAAAUGCAAUUUUUUAAUUUGAAUGUAAAUAUCAGACUUUCACACUUUCCAGUUUAAUUAUCUCUGACGCUAGGAUUCCCAGAAUUUCCAAAUGUAAUUUUAUACGUUUGGAAGUAUGGCAACAUUUGUUGCCAGUCUUCAACAAAGUUAGAACACUAAAUUAACUAUUGAUGUCCAUAAAUGUUUAGAAAAGUUUGGAAAGGAUUUUGAAGAAGUAUAAAGAUUAACUUCAGUUUAAUAUUUCUUAUAUUGUUGGGUUUAUGCAUAAUAUCAUCUGGUUAAUGUGUUCUGUAUAUCGAAGCAUCCUAAGAUCAUACUUUGAAUAAACUUGGAUGAUCAUCAAUAGCAAAUGACCUAGCCCGGUAAGCAUGGGAUACAAGAAUGGUUUUUCAAAUUCAAAGUCUUUGCAAUAAAACAUGCAUCCAUUCUAUGCUAGUUGACUCUCUUUUUAUUUAAAAUACUGGGUUUUAAGACAUAUCCAAAUUAAAUUACUUUUUAUACCUUUGACUUUUGAUAUCUUUCAGCUGUUAAAAGGACUGUUGUUUCAGAAAGUUUGGCAGCAGAAAACUUGCAAUCUGGCACAUCUGGAAUCAAUCACAGUGUUGAGUAAGAGUUAAGAAGAACAACUGCAAUUAUUUAAAUUUGCGUCUCUGAGUCGUUUGGCAAAGGCAUUUUUUUUUCAAAGUUGUUAAGAUUGCAGUAUAGUCAACUAGAAUUUCAUAAAAAUCAAUAUUAUUGGCUCUUUGUUUAAAAGGCAAGAAGCAGCCCUCACGGAGUAUCCCUCGUUAUCUUGGUAUAUUGAGUACGUUCUUGAUGAUCAUGACUUAUGGUUUUGAAGCCUAAGGCAUCAUACACUGAUAUUCAUAAUAGCUAUCACACCCACUAUAGUUCAUAGGCUAAGGCAUCAUACACGGAUAUUUGUAGUAUCUCUUACACCCACUUAAAAUGAAUUAGAGAUAGUCCAAAGGAAUAACGUUAAUACCAUAAAAAUGAAGAAAGGUCGGAAAACAUUGAGAGGAAGUUUAUUGUAAUUGCAUGCAAAAUUUAUCAUUAAGCUCUCUUGAUGGCCAAGUCAAAAGAAGAAACAAAGCUCAUCCAUACAGAGGCCUCUUUAUAUUGCCACAAAGACGUUCCUCCCUCCUCCGCUACCCAUCAUCUUUUUCUAUUUCUGUAUAUGUUAAACUUUCACCUAGAGAUUCAGUCUUGCUUGCUUUCAACUCAGUUCUAAUCCUGUCUCUGCUUAAGAGCCCCAUGUAGAUCAAGUAACAAGUUAACAAUGAAGCUUAUGUUAAGGUAACAUUUUGCUUUGACAUUUUCCUUUCAGAUCUGUUAACCAAGUUUUAUUUUGAGCCUAUAGAGAAAUCGUAUGCUUCUUAUACUAGAACUGGAUUUGUCUGUUCCUUUCAUCUGAACACCUUCCUAGAUAUCUUGACUCUCAUUGCUGUUCCCCUAAAACUGGGGUCCUGUCCGGGACUAGAGAUCAGCUUGUGCCUUUCGAAGAUACAGUUUAGCCUUUGCUGCACAAGACUACGUAACAAGCCACUCCCAAAACACAGUGCUUAAAAUUACAAUAAUGCAAUCUCGUGCAUCUGUGAGAUGCCUGGGCUCAGUUUAAUGGGAUUUUUUCUGCUACGAAUCUCCCAUUUCCCUCCCAGACCUAGCAGGCUCACCAUAGCAUGUUUUCGUCCUGACAAUGAUGGAAGUAUAAGACGGCAAGUGGAAAUACAGACGGCCUCUUAGGGUCUAGGUUUGGAACUGGCACAUCAUCACUUCCCGCUUAUACUGUUGCCAAAGCAAGUCGUACAGCUGAACCCAAAUGUAGGGGUUGAGAAGUAUACUUGGAUCCUUUAGGAGGAGAGACUGCAGUCACAUGGCAGAGACUGUUGACGAAGGAAGGAUUGUUGAAAGGUAUAAAGUGUUAUUUAAAUACAUGCAAACUUGUGAUUACAGUUUUUAAAAUUAAUUGAAAUAUUGCCAAAUUACUGACAUACCCUGGUAGGAUCCUGUUUCGUUUAUCAUUUCAUUUCUUUCAACAAAUAUUUGAGGGUCCAGCACAAAAGCACCUGCCUUUUCUUCUGACUCAUCACAUAAAAGUCACAUAAUCUUGGACAACUCACUUAAGGUUUUUUGUUUUCUUUUUAACUUUUCUGUUUUUGAUGUACAGUUCUAUAACUUUUAACAUACGUAUAAAUUCCCGUAACUACCACCAUAAUCAGAAUAUAGAACAUAGCAUCGCAACAAACUAUUGCUUUUUGUUGCCCCUUUUGUAGCUAAAAUCUCCCCGUACUCGUUACUGCUGACGCAAACUCAUCUUUUCUCCUUUCACAUAGUUUUGCCUUUUCUAGAUUGUCAUAUAAAUGGAAUCACACAGCACGUAAUUUUGGAAAUAGCUUCUUUCACUGAGCAUAAUGCUUUUGGGAUUCAUGGAUACCGUUGUGUGUAUACAGAGUUCCUUUUUAUUGCUGAGUAGUAAUCCAGUGUAUGUAUGAAUUACAGUUUUUUAAUCCAUUUACUUAUUGAAAGUCAUUUAGGUUGUUCCUAGUUUUAGGUGACUGAAUAAAAUUUCUGUAAAUAUUCAUGUACAUGUUUUGCAUAACCAUAAAGGUACAUUUCUCUAGAGUAAAUAGCUGAGUGGAUUGCUGCGUCGUAUGGUGAGUGUAUGAUAAGUUCAGGGUCAGAGUACAUGAUUUGUAUGAUUACCAUUCUUUUAAAUUUGUUAAGGUCUGUACUAUGGUCUGUGAUGUGGUCUCUCCAGGUGCGUGUUCUACGUGCACAUGAAAAGAAUGAGUAUUCUGCUGUCGUUGGGUGAAGCGUUCCAUGAAUGUCAAUCAGCGCAAUUAUUGAUGCUGUUGUUCAGGUCUUCUAUAUCCUAUGACUUUUUGUCUACCAGUUCUAUUGAUUAUUGAGAAAGGAGUGUUGAAAUCUCCAAGAACAAUUGUGGAUUACAUGUUUCUCUUGUCAGUUCUAUCCAUUUUUCCUCACGUAUUUUGAAGCUCUGUUGUUAGGUGCAUGCACUUAGCGUUGUUACGUCUUCUUAAUGUAUUAACCCUUUUAUCAUUAUGCAUUGUGCUUCAUUAUUUCUGGUAAUUUUCAUGGCUUUGAAAUUUACGUUGAUAAUAAUAUAAGCAUUCCAGUUUUCCUCUGAUUAGUAUUUGUAUAUUUUAGCUUUUAUCAUCCUUUUCCUUUUUUGU